ensembl:lncRNA
CUGAGGCUGAAUAAGAACCAUUGGUGCUAUCACUUCGACUUGGCAGUCUGAUGUCUUCUUGGCAUCCAUAUCUGCAACGUUAUUAUCUUUGAUAACAAAAUCAAUGGCUAUUUGUGUGCCUGACAUUUAGUAAUUGCUAGCCGCCUAGGAUGCAUCAUGGCAGAAAUCAAUUAAACUAUAUGUUCAAUGUUAAAGUGGUGUUCCAACACUUUUCCUAAAACCUCUUUGCUUUCAGACAGGUGGCACACUCCAUGGGCAUAAGCAGAGUCUAUAUAUGAGCAAUUCUACACUUAACCAGUUGGCACUCUGUAGUGAGAGCUUUUAAUCUAGCCAAUUGAGCAGACCAGAGGUGUUCAUAAUGUUUGUGAAAUUUCAAACACAAAAUCUUUCAGAUGGAACGUAGAGUCGAGGAAAUGUGAAUUUCGGGGCUAGACAAUUGUGAGUGUUCUCAGUGACUUGCUCAACAGAAUUAAUUAGGCAAUGCAACACUACAGUUGGUGUAUUAGACACGCUAGUGGAUUUGAUAGUUAAAUUUUGAGUUGCACAAAGAAUAACCUCAUAUCCUGGUCUUUGUUGUGCUGACAGGUGUUGCAUGCGGAUGUAAUUCAAAAUGGCAGUGACUUGUUGUGAGGAGUGUAAGAUCAAUGUUUGAGAGAGAACAAAUUUCCCAGUGGUCUGCUGUAAGAGAGCAGCUGCAGCCAUGGCACGCAAAUAUGCUGGCAAUCCCUGUGCCACCAAAUCCAGUGUUUUCAAUAAAUAAGCUAAAGGCCUGCAAGCGCCCGCAUGCUCCUGAGCCAGGACCACUUCUGCGGCUCCCCCUCCCUCAGUCACAUAAAGUAUAAAGUAUAAAGCAUAAAGUAGCUUUCCAUAUCAGAAGUACAUUCAACCUCAGGUUUUUCUUUAGAACACCCAGCUCUCAGGAUUUUGUCAUGAAAAGAGCAAUCAGUGAUCCACUGACAGCAGUAGGCGGAGGAUGACUACAAUCAUGUCCUGUCGGCCUUGGGAGCGGGAGAAAGGUGAGGGAGUCUCUGACCACAGAAGAGUCCGCAACCUCUGAGGGAGAUGCACCCAGGUGUAUUGUUGAUUUUGGGAUGUUAAGGCACACUGGAAAAAAAAGCUGAACACAGG